rnacentral:rRNA from 1 species
GAUGAACGCUAGCGGCGGGCCUAAUACAUGCAAGUUGAACGGGAUUGUUGGUAGCAAUAUUGACAUGAGAGUGGCGCACGGGUGCGUAACACGUAUGUAACCUACCUUUAACUGGGGCAUAGCUUCGAGAAAUCGAAAUUAAUACCCCAUAACAUUUAGAAAAGGCAUCUUUUCUUUAUCAAAGCUCAGGCGGUUAAGGAUGGACAUGCGGUGCAUUAGCUUGUUGGUGAGGUAACGGCUCACCAAGGCUACGAUGCAUAGGGGGUCUGAGAGGAUGAUCCCCCACACUGGUACUGAGACACGGACCAGACUCCUACGGGAGGCAGCAGUAGGGAAUAUUGGGCAAUGGACGAAAGUCUGACCCAGCCACGCCGCGUGAAGGAUGAAUGCCCUCUGGGUUNUAAACUUCUUUUGUAUGGGAAGAAAAUUCCGAACGUGUUCGGAGCUGACGGUACCAUAAGAAUAAGCAUCGGCUAACUCCGUGCCAGCAGCCGAC